GCCUGGCUAGCUCAGGUGGUAGCGCCUCAGACUUUUAAUCUGAGGGUCUAGGGUCCAAGUCCCUAGUCAGGCA